UACGGAGGGGGUUAGCGUUGUUCGGAAUGACUGGGCGUAAAGCGCGCGUAGGCGGGCUGGAAAGUUGGGGGUGAAAUCCCGGGGCUCAACCCCGGAAUGGCCUUCAAGACUCCCAGCCUAGAGUUCGAGAGAGGUGAGUGGAAUUCCGAGUGUAGAGGUGAAAUUCGUAGAUAUUCGGAGGAACACCAGUGGCGAAGGCGGCUCACUGGCUCGACACUGAUGCUGAGGUGCGAAAGCGUGGGGAGCAAACAGG
rnacentral:rRNA from 1 species